UCUGUGCAGCACAGGGACACCGGCCUGGAUGCAGCGGUGAGCACUGACACCCCCAUAAAGGAGACUCUGUGCAGCACAGGGACACCGGCCUGGGUACAGCAGUGAGCACUGACACCCCCAUAAAGGAGACUCUGUGCAGCACAGGGACACCGGCCUGGAUGCAGCAGUGAGCACUGACGCCCCCAUAAAGGAGACUGUGUGCAGCACAGGGAAACCGGCCUGGGUGCAGCGGUGAGCACUGACACCCCCAUAAAGGAGACUCUGUGCAGCACAGGGACACUGGCCUGGAUGCAGCGGUGAGCACUGACACCCCCAUAAAGGAGACUCUGUGCAGCACAGGGACACCGGCCUGGGUGCAGCGGUGAGCACUGACACCCCCAUAAAGGAGACUCUGUGCAGCACAGGGACACCGGCCUGGAUGCAGCAGUGAGCACUGACGCCCCCACAAUCAAAUGCAGAUGCCCAGGCUGCCUCGCCUCUCUGCCUCUCUCCAAUUCUCCAGCAUCACAGUCCCUCGUGUCAGCUACUGACUCCUGGGCGUGCAGCCCUCUGUGGGCAUCGUGCGUGGGGCCUGUGUCCCUGACGUGACGCCAUGACUGUCUGCGCCAUCCAGGUCCUCCGCCCUGGCCUCUGGUCCCACUGAGCCCUUUCCAGAGCGCACUCUCUUCUGUCACUGCUGUGUGAACUCACCCCACUCCCAGCAAGCCCUCAGCUGUUACAGCCCAGUAAAAAAAAGAAUUUCUGGCCGGGAGCGGUGGCUCAAGCCUGUAAUCCCAGCACUUUGGGAGGCCGAGAUGGAUGGAUCACGAGGUCGAGAGAUCGAGACCAUCCUGGUCAACAUGUUUACAAGACAGUCUUUUACAGAUUAUCAUCAGGCAUCCUGCAAGAAAGCUACCAACUACGUCUCAAAGGGUUACAGAAUCAACGACUAUGGAAACCCAAAUAACAGUAUUCUCUGAAGAGAAACUUACCAGAGGAGACAGGAAAGGAGAAAUAUGCCAUUCCGGAUUAUUUAAGUAUUCAACAGUGCUUUGCUAUUAAUUUGGAAUUAUUAUAAAUGAGGAAAUAAAAGCCACCAGGUAAUUCAAAGACAAUGGCGUUUUAAUUAGUCUACUGGCUUUACAGUUUGGGUUAAACACUUGGUAACUAACAAUAUUUGUUGAGGGGAUCUUGGAAUGGUUUCUUAAAUCAUGUGAGACAAGCUCAACACUUGAGCAGCUUAGCUGUGGAUAAAAGCUGUCAUUCGUCAUAACCAUGAACAACAGACUAUCCAAGGGUCUGGGAUUUAUUCUUGGCUCUGCCACGUGACUUGGCAAAGUAUGAAAACAGUUUGGUUUCAACUUUAGCUUCUGCAUCUAUCCAAGCUAGGACGCUGCCAUCUGAUAGACAUCUCUUGCCAAUUGUAUUGGGAUUUUAAAUACAACAAUAAAUUCACAUUGGCCCUGUCACUUUCACUUGAUCUAAAUAU